AUUGAACGCUGGCGGCAUGCUUUACACAUGCAAGUCGAACGGUAACAGGCCGCAAGGUGCUGACGAGUGGCGAACGGGUGAGUAAUGCAUCGGAACGUGCCCAGUCGUGGGGGAUAACGCAGCGAAAGCUGCGCUAAUACCGCAUACGAUCUCUGGAUGAAAGCGGGGGACCGAAAGGCCUCGCGCGAUUGGAGCGGCCGAUGUCAGAUUAGGUAGUUGGUGGGGUAAAGGCCCACCAAGCCAACGAUCUGUAGCUGGUCUGAGAGGACGACCAGCCACACUGGGACUGAGACACGGCCCAGACUCCUACGGGAGGCAGCAGUGGGGAAUUUUGGACAAUGGGCGCAAGCCUGAUCCAGCAAUGCCGCGUGCAGGAAGAAGGCCUUCGGGUUGUAAACUGCUUUUGUACGGAACGAAACGGUUCGGGUUAAUACCCUGGGCUAAUGACGGUACCGUAAGAAUAAGCACCGGCUAACUACGUGCCAGCCGCCGCAGUAA
rnacentral:rRNA from 1 species